UACAGAGGUCUCAAGCGUUGUCCGGAUUCAUUGGGCGAAAAGGGUGCGUAGGUGGCGCUGUAAGUCGGGUGUGAAAUCCUGAGGCUUAACCUCGGAACUGCAUUCGAUACUGCGGCGCUUGAGGACUGGAGAGGAGACUGGAAUUCAUGGUGUAGCAGUGAAAUGCGUAGAGAUCAUGAGGAAGACCAGUGGCGAAGGCGGGUCUCUGGACAGUUCCUGACACUGAGGCACGAAGGCCAGGGGAGCAAACGGG
rnacentral:rRNA from 1 species